rnacentral:lncRNA from 1 species
CUUUCCUUCUUGAUUGUCUCUAGGGGCUGGGAUGUAACCCAGUGGGAGAGCACUUGCCUAAAACACACAAGUCAUCGAGUUUUGUUACGUCGGCGGGUACUGAGUUCAUUGUCUCUGUUCAGCAAAGAAUCGGAGAACAGGACACAGAGGCAGCAAGCAGGCAGCUGGUUUAUUGCAAAAGCAACAGAGACAGACUUCUCCCCAGAGGAGCGUCCCCAGAGCCAGGAGUCUGGAGGGGAGUUUUUGCCUGUUCUUUUUAUGAUCGCUGGAAUUUCUUCCUUUCCUUAUCUCCUCCCCUGUCCCCGGUCUCCUCACUGUUACUGAUGGGUGCCCUCUCUGUCCACGUAUAUGCUCUAGUUUUUCUAUUGGAUCCCCUGCUUAGGGGCACGAGUACAGAGUGUCUGUCUGAUUGCGUCCCUGGCUUGUCCAUGGGCACUUUUGUCAAGCAGGAAGUUGACCUCCUCAGGAGACCCUCUCCAUGCUCCUUGCUCGGGCCCUGCCCCGACCUCCUCACUCACCAUCUUGCCCUGGCUGCCGAGGCCUUUCUAUGUCUCCCUCAGUGUGAUCUCCAGCACCGCAAAGAAACAAGUUGAUCAUCUCAGGCAUUUUGUCAUAGCAGGGGACGGCUGACUGACAUACCUAUGUAGAAAACAAGCAGAAGUCUUUCCUUCCCACCUUGUCCAGUAUGGAAGAGCAAAUGGCAGUCUGCAUGUCGCCCAACACCUUUGGCUCUUUCUUCUCAGCAGCUGAUCAUUGAAAGGUGCUGUACACACCAAAGCCCUUGGGUUCCUCGACUUGUAACCACUGGUCACUUUGUGGUAUUUGUUUCCACUGCAGAGGUAAAGCAUGCUGCACCUGGUGUCAGCCUUUCUCAUGGCCGGGUCUUCUUGGCUAGCCUCCAUUAAUCUCUGUAAAUAUUCCGUGAGCUUAGAAAGAAUGCGUAUUGCAGAGCUGUGACGGGACACUUUCUGUAAGUCAUUUUGGAUCUGCUUGUGAAUUCUGAGUUCAGAUCUCCAGACCUGCCCUGCUAUUUUGUCUGUUGGUAUUCAAAUCACUGAGGUAGGAACAUUAAACUCCGC